ACGCUCGACACCUACGGGAGGUAGCAGUGGGGAAUAUUGCACAAUGGGGGAAACCCGUGAUGCAGCGACGCCGCGUGAGCGAAGAAGUAUUUCGGUAUGUAAAGCUCUAUCAGCAGGGAAGAAACUGACGGUACCUGACUAAGAAGCACCGGCUAAAUACGUGCCAACAGCCGCGGUAAUCUGAGCGGGCUGGCAAGGC
rnacentral:rRNA from 1 species